GACGAACGCUGGCGGCGUGCUUAACACAUGCAAGUCGAACGGAAAGGCCCUGCUUUUGUGGGGUGCUCGAGUGGCGAACGGGUGAGUAACACGUGAGUAACCUGCCCUUGACUUUGGGAUAACUUCAGGAAACUGGGGCUAAUACCGGAUAGGAGCUCCUGCUGCAUGGUGGGGGUUGGAAAGUUUCGGCGGUUGGGGAUGGACUCGCGGCUUAUCAGCUUGUUGGUGGGGUAGUGGCUUACCAAGGCUUUGACGGGUAGCCGGCCUGAGUGGGUGACCGGCCACAUUGGGACUGAGAUACGGCCCAGAAUCCUACGGGAGGCAGCAGUGGGGAAUAUUGCACAAUGGGCGGAAGCCUGAUGCAGCAACGCCGCGUGCGGGAUGACGGCCUUCGGGUUGUAAACCGCUUUCGCCUGUGACGAAGCGUGAGUGACGGUAAUGGGUAAAGAAGCACCGGCUAACUACGUG
rnacentral:rRNA from 1 species